GUAUGUCUGUGGAGGCAUCCCAAUGCCAGAGGGAUCCAUCCUCAGAACAAGUAAAUAGAUGAUCUGGGUUGGAUGGGUGAAAGUGAACUUCCCACACUAAAAGCUUCAUGAGCCUUCAGCAGAGACACAGGCAUAGUGCCUUGUCUAACAUCCCAAAUACUCAGCAUUCCGUCCUGGCCACCAGUAGCUACAACAUGCUGCUGGUUGGGAUGUCUAUCAACACAGUGGAGGGGUACUCGGUCACCAGUCCUUUUAUGAGAGACAGAAGGACAUCAAACAUGCUCCAAGGAAACAGUCAACAAAACCAAAAGAGAACUGACAGAAUGGGAGAAGAUAUUUGCAAAUGACAUAUCAAAUAAAGAGCUGGUAUCCAAAA